ACGAACGCUGGCGGCGUGCUUAACACAUGCCAGUCGUACGGAAAGGCCCUGCUUUUGUGGGGUGCUCGAGUGGCGAACGGGUGAGUAACACGUGAGUAACCUGCCCUUGACUUUGGGAUAACUUCAGGAAACUGGGGCUAAUACCGGAUAGGAGCUCCUGCUGCAUGGUGGGGGUUGGAAAGUUUCGGCGGUUGGGGAUGGACUCGCGGCUUAUCAGCUUGUUGGUGGGGUAGUGGCUUACCAAGGCUUUGACGGGUAGCCGGCCUGAGAGGGUGACCGGCCACAUUGGGACUGAGAUACGGCCCAGACUCCUACGGGAGGCAGCAGUGGGGAAUAUUGCACAAUGGGCGGAAGCCUGAUGCAGCAACGCCGCGUGCGGGAUGACGGCCUUCGGGUUGUAAACCGCUUUCGCCUGUGACGAAGCGUGAGUGACGGUAAUGGGUAAAGAAGCACCGGCUAACUACGUG
rnacentral:rRNA from 1 species